rnacentral:rRNA from 1 species
UAAGGAAUAUUGGUCAAUGGACGCAAGUCUGAACCAGCCAUGCCGCGUGAAGGAUGAAGGUCCUCUGGAUUGUAAACUUCUUUUAUCUGGGACGAAAAAAGGGAAUUCUUUCUCACUUGACGGUACCAGAGGAAUAAGCACCGGCUAACUCCGUGCCAGCAGCCGCGGUAAUACGGAGGGUGCGAGCGUUAUCCGGAUUUACUGGGUUUAAAGGGUGCGUAGGUGGGCAGGUAAGUCAGUGGUGAAAUCUUCGAGCUUAACUCGGAAACUGCCAUUGAUACUAUCUGUCUUGAAUAUCCUGGAGGUGAGCGGAAUAUGUCAUGUAGCGGUGAAAUGCUUAGAUAUGACAUAGAACACCAAUUGCGAAGGCAGCUCACUACGGGAUGAUUGACGCUGAGGCACGAAAGCGUGGGGAUCAAACAGG